GGUUAAUCGCGUUUGCCUUACCGGCGUAUGUUCGAUACAAUACGAUCGAACCAAAUCGAACGAUGAAUCGUCGAUCAUUACGAACUUUUAUUUGCGAAGGUUAAUAAUUCUAGAACGAUCAUUCUAUUUCUGAUCAAUGAUCCUUGUUAAAUUGAUCAUUGCUGCGACACGAGGAAAAAAGAAAGUGAAAACUUCACUCUAAAUUUAGAUCUUGCUUAUGUUUCGAAUACAUUAUAUGUUUAUUGCAAUUUUCCUGUGCACGUUCCACAAGGAAUUCAAUCAAUAUUUUCACGCCCGUGAUAAGCUAGCAAAGCAUCGUCUAGUGCAACGUAAUUGUCACAGAAACGAAAAAGCGGAAGUGAGAUACGUAUCGUUUCGUUUGCGAUAAAAAGUAUGACCGAGCAAGGCGAUUACAAGAAUGGAAACAUCCGUUCGGGCAAAAAUCAAUUUUCGGAAAAAAAUCAUGAUUAAUGAAAUGCAUGACAAUGAAUCAUAUUUCGUUGGAAGGAAAAAAAUAGUUUACCUCCGGUGAGCACCACUUUGUACAGUCGUUUCUGCUCCAUGUUGUGUGAACGUUUUUGAGAGCCCUUUUUCACUGACCAAGUCCACGAGGUUGUUUCAGGUCGAUGACGAUGGAUGGAUGGAUGGAUAUAUCUUCGUUUGGCUCGUGAAUGGUGUCUACGGUUGUAACGAAUACUACAUGAACACUUCACCGUACAUUACGAUGUACCGCGGAGUCAGAUACGUCGGAGACAUGGGAAUGAAGCGAUGGUAUAUCUCGGACGCAGAAAGACAACAAACUCCCACUUGAGAGAGCAGACGGUCUGACUCGAAAUGAAACGAUCCGCGGCUUUGGCUAAUCGGGUUAUGCUACUUGCUACUCCCUCUGUGUUAUGAUCAUGCGCGAAACGGAAACGCACGAAUUCAUGAGCGCCGUUUACGAACGUAUCCGAACGACGCACUUCGGAUUUGCCGGAAAUUAUUAGCUAGAAACUUCGAACUUCACAAAAGUUUUUUUAUCGAUACUACCUUUUCCUUUUUUAUAUAUUCGUUUCAGCAACAAUCGAACAUGAUUCCCAAACUUCACUAUUGUACGAUUUAUACAGAAAUUGUGAUAUUUCAUCGAGAGAAACGUUUCAAUCGACGUAACUUUGAUGCGCUUUUUUAAACGUAUUAUACACGUAACGAAAUGGACACUUUUACGCGCCAAACAUAAUUUCGGUAGUACAAUAAAAAGAAACGAAGAGGGAGUUUAUAUAGCACCUUUUUUCUUUUUAUCUUUCCAUCUUCCAUUAUUUGUACAAUAGCUAUAAAUUACAACGAUCAUUCUUAAAGCAUACAAUAAAAAAUUUUUCCACUUGUUUACACAACGAAAUUAAUUUACAACGUUUUUUUCUUCCUCUCUCAUAAAACAUACAAUUUUUUCAUCGCAGUUUUUUUCUCUGAUGUUACAGUCAAAAGAUACAAGCACCGAUUUACAUUUCUAAUCAGUCUACCUAAUUAGUAGUAUUUAGAAAUAUAUAUAUAUAUAUAUAUAUUUAGUCUUACGCAUUCGAUUUAUUACGAGAGCGUUUGUAAAUUUUUUUUUACAUUUUUCCUCGUGUUAAUUGAGUUCAGUGAAAUAUCAAAAACUUUUCAGUCUAUCAAGCAAACGUACGCGUUACAGUUUGACUGUAAUUAGUAUAAUUACAUAUAUCGUUGACACAUUUUGUGGUCGUCAUCAUGAACGUGUCGUACACGUAUCAAAAAAAAAAAAAAAGGGGGCGAA